GUAAUGACUGUCCCAUGGCAGUAUAAGGUAUGAACUCUAGGAGGGUCUGUGUGCACAAAGAAAGAUGCUUUUCUGAUCCAGCUGCUCUUGGCCAGAAUUUUCAUAGUUUAUAUGCACAUUCUCCCCCUAAGAGGGGUAGUUUGUUUCAAUCUGAGCUCUCCAUUCUUCUCUUCUUUUCUUUGCAUAGGCAUUUCUGGACUCCCUGCUGUUCACCGAAAAGGGGAGAGGCAAGAAAUCAAGAGGUAACUUCACUAGACCAACAUGGAACAAAGAAAUCCAUAUACAAAGAAGAAAGAGAUGUAGAGUUCAGAUUGAAACAAAUUCAUUCAAAAGAGGCGGAUGUGCACACAGAGUGUGAAUAUACUGGCCAAGCGUUGCUGACUUAGAACAUGUACUUGAGUUCCUGUCUUCAAACAUCCAGACCCCCACCCAGUGUUCACACCUUACAUGGCCAUG
rnacentral:lncRNA from 1 species